GCCCGGCCCGGGACGCUCGGGAAACUUCGGAGCAGCCGUUCAGCUCCUUCCGGGAGUGGGGCAGUGCGAGCCGCCGCGACUCACCUGGAGCCGGGGCAGGCAGCGCCACGGCCCCUUUCCCCGCAGCGGCGAGGCUCUGGUGCCUGGGCCCGUAGCCGCCCCUCCCCCCGGAGCAUCGCCCAUCUGCCCCGCUGGGAACAUGGCGUCCGGCGGCUACCGGAGCAGCGGGGGCAGCACCACGGACUUUCUGGAGGAGUGGAAAGCCAAGCGGGAGAAGAUGCGGGCGAAGCAGGCGCCGCCGCUGCCGCCGGGGGCACCGGCCGGGACUGACGGCAAAGCCCCCGGGAGCGCUUCCUCGGCUGCCGAGCUCAACAGCACCCUGCACCCCGCCGGCCUGGCCGCUCCGCCGCACCCCCCGGAGCGGGGCGCCCCGUCCCCCAGCGGGGGCACGAAUUGUGUCCCCCUCUCCGCUAGAGCCGGCUCCAAGGAGCCCCCGCCCCCAGCCGGGGGCAGAGCGGCUGAGCCUGCGGGGAAGCCCCCCGCCGCGCCCGGCUCCCCGGAGGAGGAGAAGGCGGUGGCGAAGGGGAAAAGCUCCGGUCCCAGCGCCAGGAAGGGGAAGGGGCAGAUCGAGAAGAGGAAGCUGCGUGAGAAGAGGCGAUCGACAGGUGUGGUGAACAUCCCCGCCGCCGAGAGUCUAGAUGAAUAUGACGAUGAUGAAACAGGACAGAAGGAGCGAAAGAGGGAAGAUGCUAUUACACAGCAGAAUACAAUGCAGAAUGAAUCUGCCAGUGUAGACCCAGGUGGCUCAUACCUAAUACAGGAAUCCUCUAGGACAGUUUCAAGCAGAUAUAAAAGUGCAACUAAUGCACCUGAAGAUGAUGGUCCAAAUCGAUAUUCCCGAACAGACAGGACAGGAUAUAGCAGAUACAGCAGGGAUGCAAAUUCUUCUGGGAAUUCUGUACCAGGCAGUGCUUUGGAAAAGAGGAUUGAAGAACUUGAAAGGGAACUAGCCAAGGAGAGGCAAGAAAAUGUAAGAUUAUUGAGGAUGACACAGGACAAAGAGGAACAGAUUGGGAAAUUGAAGGAAGAAAUUGAUUUAUUAAACAGAAGACCUUUUGCUAUUUACUAGGCGGUCGAUUUGUGGUGGAAAGAACUGAAGCUGUUAUGAUGCCCCCUUUUAUAGUCUAGCUCUCGGAACACUCAGAGCUGCCAACAGGCAUAGGCUCACACUCCAACUUCUAGGCACCACUUCUAGAGGUUUCUGCUGGUCCUGCUGCACCAGUGAUGUGUCCCCCAGUAGUGUGGGUAUACAAAGGCUGUUCAAGGACUCUAGUCAGUGGACCUAGAUGAUAUAGAGGAUGAAAAUGAGCAAUUAAAGCAGGAAAAUAAGACCCUCUUAAAAGUUGUUGGACAGCUGACAAGGUAGAAGAUUCAAACCUCAAUGAGGAGAGAGAUUUAAAAACUACUGAUUGAUAAAGUCAACAUUACAGUAAUACUUCCUGUGUUGCAGUAUGUUAAAAUAACCAAGUCUUUAUAUUUAUUAUUAGGAAACCAGAUGGAUGUUUAUUUUCAUAAUACAUUCUUUUUCAUUCAGUAAAAUGGCAUCAACUUUUGUGGGUAUUUUUAACCUUACCUUUCACAUCAAGAAUAAUUAACAAUUGAUAUCUUUCAAAAACAUUAAAUUCAUGAUUGUUGUAUUGGGUUUUGUCUUCUUACUACAUAUAAUCUGGUUAUAGUAGUUUAAAAAUCAGAGCGCCAGGAUCACUUUUGGUCUUUGUUGGGUGUAUAUUUUUUUCUUGAACGAAAGGAAGCAAUACAAAUAAGCUUUGUUUACACAGAUCCAAAAUAUAUAUAUUUUGGGAAAUAUUUUCAUUUUGUUUCGACCGCUGUAAAGUAUAGGUGCCUUAUUGAUGUGUAACAUUUUGCAGAUUGAUUACUUGUUCUAAAAUACAAAUCUUGUAUGUUGUGAGUUUUUUACUAUAUCUGAAAGACAGACCAUGUUUGAGUAGCGAUUUUCUUCUGUAUAGCAGUUGUCUUGGGGAAAAAUAAGUUUUUAUUAAAAUUCAAUAAAUCAACUGUAGUUACCAACAUUAAAUUUUUUUGUAACAUGUCUGUUGUGCACUAUAGUAUAUCAUAAUGCUUGUGCUUUAGCAGUGAAAUGCAAAUUUACUAUCCUACAGUAAGUUUGUUUUGUGUAUUGAGAAUAUAAACAAAGCCUGGAGCUUUCAUUUUGCAAAAGUAUUAAAACAUAAUUAUAUUUAAAUCUACCUAUUUUAAAUAUUUAGUGCUCAUAAUAAAUGAGUUUUAAGGGUUUUUAAAGCUGUGAUAAAGCUUGUUAGUUAUCAUGUAUGAAAGGGAAGUUUCAUAAAUUAUUUAGGCCUUUGAAAAACAUGAAGUAUGCGACAUACAAUAAAAACAUUGAAUCUUAAUUGCUGCUAGUGCGUAUGAAAAUUAAAGCUUGCAUAUGCAGUUAAUUUUAGCCACUUGGGGCAAUAUGCUAGCAUUGUUUUUUAGUACAAGAUGACACUUUCAUGAUAUAUAAACCACUGUCUUCAGUCACAAAUAAUUCUGGCCUAAAAAUUCUUGCUAGACUGAAACUUAUGCUUGGACUCAUCCCUGAUUUUAAAAAAUAUUUAAGGCGUUUGAGUUACAAAAUCAGCUUUAAAACCUUCCUGAAGUUCCGAGCAUUCUUCCUCUCAUAACUUGAAUAUACCAGAAUACAAAGUUUGAAACAUCUACAGUUUUUGUUGCCUUAAAAUAUAAAGAUAACAUUAAUACAUAAUGAUGGCCAUCUACAAAGAUUUGCCCAUAGCUUCCGUUUUGAGUUAAACAGUCUUUGUGUUUAAUGAGACUAAAGAAUUCUUAAUUUUUUAAAUCCAGGAAUUAUCACUCCAUGUUAGAUGCUUUGGUUUCAUUCUGAAUAUUGAACAGGUUACUUUGCUUUGUUUAUUUUGUAUUCCAAUGAGAGAGAAGAGAUUGAGAGCUUAAGAAGUAUUACACAGUACAUUUACCUUCUAAUGUGCUUGGAAGUUAGUGCUCACAGUAGGAGUGAGCCCACACAGUCUUACUCGGAGCUUAAAUCCUUAAUGCAGGGUUUAAUUGGCACAAGGGUGAAGAUCAUGAGUGAGCACUAAUCUAUAUCUUGGUCCAGCAAUAAUAAGUCCUUAAUUUGAUCACUUUUACAAAAUUGGAAAUUUAAACAUGUAGAGGUGGGGAAAGAACAACUUUAUAUAAUAGUCACACAUGUAAGUGGGCUUAAUGGAUCUGAACCGAACAUUGAAACUUUAUUUGAAAUAGCAUCUAUUUCCCUCUCCAUUUAAUCUGUAGGCAAAAUUUAAGGAUUUGUAGAGUGUGCUUCCAAAUUUAUAUUUGAUGUAAUACCAAGAAAAUUUAGAUGCUUAGUGUCAUACUCUGAACAUACAGAGACCAUAAUGUCAGAUAUAAACAGUUAUGAACUGGAUAUUUCUAAAUUAUAUUUCACAUAGAAUCACAGAAAAAUGUAGGGCAGGAAGUGAUCUCAGGAGGUCAUGUCGUCCAGUCCCCUAUGCUGUAACAAGACCAAGUAUAGUUAGACUAUUCCUGACAAGUGUGUGUCUAACCUGUCCUUUAAAACCUCCAAUGACGGAUUACGCAACCUCCUAGGGAAGCCUAUUCCAGUGCUUAACUAUCUUCUUAGUUAGAAAGUUUUUCCUUGUAUCUAACAUAAAUUUGUCUUGCUGCAGAUUAAGUCCAUUACUACUUGUUCUACUUUCAGUGGGACACAGAACAGUUGAUAACCAUCGUUGUUAUAACAGUCCAUAAUAUAUUUGAAGACUGUCAUCAGAUCACCCCUCAAGCUUCCUUUCUCAAAACUAAAUGUGCCCCCUUUUUUAACCUUUCCUCAAAGAUCAGGUUUUCUAAACCUUUUAUCAUUUUUGUUGCUGUCCUCUAGACCCUUUCCAGUUUUUCCACUUCCUUCUUAAAGUAUGGUGCACAGAACUGGACACAGUAGUCCAGCUGAGGCCUCAACAUGUGAAUAGAGUGGGACAAUUACCUUCUGUGUCUUAAAUACAACAUUCUUGUUAAUGCACCACAGAGUACUAGCCUUUUUCACAACUUCAUCAUAUUACUGACUUAGUCAAUGUGUGAUCCACUAUAACCCCCAGAUCUUUUUCAAAAGUACCUAGCCUGUUGUUCCCCAUUUUUGUAGUUGUUCAUUUGAUUUUUUUUUUUCUUCCCAAGUGUACACUUGUCUUUAUUGAAGUUAAUCCUGUUGGUUUCAGACUAAUGUUCCAAUUUGUCAAGAUCAUUUUGAAUUCUAAUUCUCGCCUCCAAAGUGCUUUCAAUCCCUCAUAAAUUGGUAUCAUUUGCAAAUUUUUUAUAAGCAUACUCUCCACUCCAUUCUCCAAGUCAUUAAUGAAAAUAAUGACUAGUACCGGACCCAGGACAGACCUCUACAAGAUCCUACUAGAUAUGUCCCAACAGUUGGAUAGCAAAUGAUUGAUAACUACUCUUGGAGUAAUUUUUUAACCAGUUGUGUACCCACCUUAUGGUAACUUCAUCUAGACCUCACUUCCUUAGUUUGCUUAUGAGAAUGUCAUGACUUAUUUAAAAGCCUUAUUAAAAUCAAGAUGUAUCAUAUCUGCAACUUGCCCCCAUCCAUUAGGCCAGUAACCCUGUGAAAGAAGUGUAUUAGGUUGGUUUGGCAUGAUUUGUUCUUGACAAAUCCAGGCUGGCUAUAACUUAUAACCCUAUUAUCCUCUGUGCAUAGAAAUUGCUUAAUAAUUAGUUCCAGUAUCUUUCCAGGUAUUGAAGUUAUGCUGACUGGCCUAAAAUUACCUAGGUCCUUUUUGUUCCCCUUUGUCCCCUAAGGGACCUCACCCGUUGUCUGUGAGUCCUUAAAGAUAAUCGCUAGCGGUUCUGAGAUUUCUUUGACUAGUUCUCUGAGUAACCUAGCGUGAUUUCCUUCAGGCCCUAAAUACAUCUAACUUAUCUAAAUAUUCUUUAACCCAUUCUUUCCUUAUUUUAGCUUCCUUUCUCCCCCACUUUUGUUAAUAUUGUUUUAAGUAUCUGGUCAUAAUUAACCUUUUAAGUGAUGACUGAAGGCAUUAAAAUAGUCCAUUAAACACUUCAGCCUUCUUGAUGUUGUCUGUUAUUAGCUCUCAUUCCCCAUUAAGUAGAGGACCUACACUUUGCUUCAUCUUUCUCGUUUCUUAUGUAUUUAUAGAAACUCUUCUUACUGUCAUUUUGUGCCUUAGCCUUUCUGAUUUUUGUCCCUAUAUCCUUGUGCUAUUCUUUUGUUACUCCUCCUUAGCAAUCUGUCGAUGUUUCCACUUUUUGUAUGUUUCCUUUUUGAUUUUCAGGUCAUUAAAGAACUCCUGAUGGAGGCGUAUUGGUCCUUUAUUCUUCUUCUGAGCUUUUCUUCGCAUCAGGAUAGUUUGCUCUUUUGUCUUUUAAUAUUGUCUCUUAGAUAAUCAUGUAUUUUCAGCCCAUGAAAGAAAACAAAGCAAAUGGACCAGUAUUUCUCUAUAUCUCAUUACCUCUUCAUAAAUUAACUUUUUUUAACGAAUUAAGUAAAAGAUAAUGGCUGAAGUUCACAAACAAUGUUUUUUCCUUUUGACACAUUUAAUUUGAGAGGGAUUUUUUAAUAGUAUGGGAGAAGUAUUUACAAUAGACUUCCCUGGGGGCUUUUGAGGUAAAGUUUUUAACAUCCUUGAAAAUGACUGUGCUUCAACUCAAUUACAGUGCCAUCAUUAAGUGUGGUCCCUUAAUACAAAUUGUGGGAGUUAGACAGAAAGUGGCUCAUGGCAUUAAUGUGGCUCUGCAUAAAUGCACACAUGUAAUACCCUGCAUGAUCUUACACAACUGCACCAUUAAGAUCACCCACACUUCAGUCAACUGUCCUGUAGAUCUUAAAUAUUUCCGGUGGAAAGUAUUUCAGUCACUGCAAAAAUUUAUGGUAAGUUACGGUAUUAUCAGGCUCUUGGCAGAAGUUUGGUAGUCUCGUUCUAUAGAAAAAUGAUGCAGUACUUAAACUGAUAAUAUUUGUGUAGCCAAUACUUUUUUAUCUUAGUAGGGUAUCCUUAAACUCAAACACACAGCAAGCUUUUAAUCUAAGUAGUUUGGGAGGGUGUUACUUUAGCUACUCUAGUAUAAGGACUUUUUGUUGAUCGUUUACAGUUUGUUUAUUUUCUCCUACCUACUUACUUACUGCUGGAUUGUUCGGAAUUAAUGUAGACUGGGGUGAGUUAAAUAUCAGGGACACUGAAAUUGAGCAAUAGCUUAAUAGGCCUUAAAGUGAAACCCCACCUCAUUUGGGAAGGUUGUAUGUUUCCUAAGCUGAUCUGGAUAUUUUGUAGUAAGGUGAACCUAACAUGCAAGAGGUUUGGUUUCGCUAAUGUUCUGAUAUAAAUUGUGCAAGUAAAUUUGUGAGACAGAUUUACGUACUUUCAUCUCUUAAAAAUGGGACCAAACUACAUAGACUUAACAUAUUUCUU